rnacentral:rRNA from 1 species
CGUGUAGGCGGCUUUGCAAGUCGGGUGUGAAAGCCCUCAGCUUAACUGAGGAAGUGCGCCCGAAACUGCAGAGCUUGAGUACCGGAGAGGAUGGCGGAAUUCCCCAAGUAGAGGUGAAAUUCGUAGAUAUGGGGAGGAACACCGGUGGCGAAGGCGGCCAUCUGGACGGUCACUGACGCUGAGACGCGAAAGCGUGGGUAGCAAACA